rnacentral:tRNA from 1 species
GGGCCCUUAGCUCAGCUGGGAGAGCGCCUGCUUUGCAAGCAGGAGGCCGCCGGUUCGAUCCCGGCAGGGUCCA